UUGACCUCGAUCAGUAGGAUCA
rnacentral:rRNA from 1 species